ACUUACAUUUGGCAGUGUGUAGAAAAAGUGUCCCAUCUUCACCAUCAGGAGCAGCAUCACACCUGCGCCUACCAGAGAUGCAAACUGAGGAGACAGAGCCAGUUGGAGAGAAACCAUCAGGAACGUAUUGGUCCCUGUCUGCAACUGAGGCCUUCUGCUUGUUUCUCUCUGCUCCAGUGCCAUCAAAAAGAAAGAAAGAAAGAAAAAGCUACAAACAUGAGUCAAGGCUGUAUAUAGCAGCUCUGGAUCCUAUCCCAGUUGGGUUGACUACUUUGGGCUCAGUGUCUCUUGGCUUUCUUGAGCAAAGACUGACUGUGCCUUCUCUCCAGAGAGUCAAAGCCAUGUAAUGAGCUAAGUAGAAGCAUAACUGAAUGCUUACAGUACCUAGGUGGUGUCUGCCCACAUUUUUUAAUUGACUGGAAUUUCAAGUUGAUUCAGCCAUCGUCAGAUUUCAUUGAGAACUGGCAUCUACUGCAGGAGUUCAACCAGACGCUGAACAGAACAGCAGUUGACUAACCUGUGAUACUGUUAUCAGAUGAAGACCCCUAGGAAGUCUACAGAUUAGAAUGGAAGGAAGAAUCUGGAUUACAGCUUGGAUCAGAGAAGAAGAGUCUUGGUUUUUAUAUAAUUAAGAGGCAAGAAGUAUGGCAAGCAUGGCAAGGAACUCUUAUUUCCAGUUUAAAGAAGGGGCGGGAGUCUCCCUACUGAGCUCCACUUUUCUUUGGAGGCAAGAGGAGUGGCAUUUGUAACUCUGGGUAAGAGUUGAAAUUACUCACAUAGAAGAAGGAGAUGGGACCGGCAUGGAAACUAAUCAUAAUCCCAAAGAUGAAAGUCAGCUGGGACAGCAU